rnacentral:rRNA from 1 species
AUGUACGUCUUGCUCCAACCUGGAGCUUCGGGAUUCCACCGACUGCGCUGGCGAUCAACUUCCUCGACGCCGCCCCCAUGCCGGCACGGCUGCCGUCGUUGCCAGAACCAAAACUUCGCCCAGAAGCUGCUCCAUUUCCACCCAGGCCGUCAGGCCAGUGCCAACGGAUCUGGAUGUUCUGAGCUGACAGGAACUCCUCCCGCAACGGGAACUUCGCCGAGAAGCGAAAAUCUUACGAGAAAUUCCAAUCCAGCGCCUUCCAUUCGCGGCGAGCUUCACUGGUUCGCCGGCGGCGAGUUCUCUACAGUUGUGCUACAGGUGAACAUGUUGUGCAACAGGUUUUGCUACAGGUGCACAUGUAAAAAAGAAGACACAUCAAUUCUCGCCGGUUCCGAUCAAGGCGUCUCGUCGGUGCUUGUCCAACUACAUCAAUUCAAUUCUCUACUCGCCAUUAAGCAAUACCCGGAUGCCAAUCCUGUGAAAGGUAAACAGGUGAUCGUUGCUGCAGAUUAUGUGCCUCAGACCACACAUGAACUAACACCGGAGCCGCGAUGGGAUGUCCCUGAUGCUGCUCACGCUAAGUUGAAUGUGGAUGGUGCCUUUGUCAAGGAUGAUGGCUCGGCUGGUGCGGGGAUGAUUCUUCGCGACCACGAAGCUGAGAUGGCUGCUGUGGAUGAAGGACUCCAGCUGGCCCUUCACUGGUCAAACUUUCCGCUGAUGGUGGAAACUGACUGUGCCGAUCUGCUGCAGCUGAUUCAGCCGAGGGAUGUUCAUAGAUCGCGCUAUAUGUAUGGCCCAGCUGUCCUAUGGGUUGCUGCUCUAGAGGCCGAAACCAAGCAAUGUGGUAAACUGGCCUGUUCAGCCAGCCCAACACCAUUCCUCCCCGCGAGCCUACGCCAGCCCACUCGGCCUCUAACUCUCGAAGAAACAAGCAAACAGCGAGGGGUGCCAGCAUCAGGAUCAGCAGCAGCGACCUACGUUUUCCCCUACAAGAACAAAUCGACGAUGGCAAAGAAGGCGUACUUCCCCAUGGCUUCUGCUGGUACAAAUCUCCUUCAUUCCUUAUCUUGGAAGUCGCUGCCGUCGGUGCCCUUGUGCUCAAAAUUCAUAUCCAUGUUGAUCCACCCUUCGGCUGUAAUCCAAGUGUCUUUGUGUUUUAACUCGAUUAAGACCAUUUGA